rnacentral:rRNA from 1 species
AGCAGCCGCGGUAAUUCCAGCUCCAAUAGCGUAUAUUAAAGUUGUUGCAGUUAAAAAGCUCGUAGUUGAAUUUCGGGAUCAAUAUGUUGGUCGUGCCUUGGUACGUACUGGCAUUAUCGAUUCCUACCUUCUGAAGAACCUCGAUGUCAUUAAUUUGGUGUCUUGGGGAAUCAGGACUGUUACUUUGAAAAAGUUAGAGUGUUUAAAGCAGGCUCGCGCUUGAAUACAUUAGCAUGGAAUAAUGAAAUAGGACGUUUGAUUCUAUUUUGUUGGUUUCUAGGAUCGACGUAAUGAUUAAUAGGGAUAGUUGGGGGCAUUAGUAUUCAAUUGUCAGAGGUGAAAUUCUUGGAUUUAUUGAAGACUAACUACUGCGAAAGCAUUUGCCAAGGAUGUUUUCAUUAAUCAAGAACGAAAGUUAGGGGAUCGAAGACGAUCAGAUACCGUCGUAGUCUUAACCAUAAACUAUGCCGACUAGGGAUCGGAUGAUGUUAAUU